GACACACAAACACACAUUGUAAUUUUAUAAUUUUUGGAAUUCUUUUUGAAUGAAGAUUUCAGCGAUGAAGAAGGAGUGUAAACAGAUGCGCCAGCCAAGAACGGGGAAGCUAAUGCCGCACUUCUUGAAUACAUCAGCUCUAUGCACAUCUUGCAGCAGUGCAUGAGCUUCAUGGUGGUUCUACCAAGCAUAAGGGAAAAACCCCGUUAUUAUUAAUCAUCUCUUGAAGUUCACUGCUUCCAAGGCAAGUUCCUAUGUUUCCAAAGCUUAGAAGGAAAGACUGGAUGGUAUUACAGGCAACUUCUGGAUUUGAAGAGACCUGUAGCUUAACAGGUUUCUCUCUCUUUCUCUCUGUCUCUAUCAUGUCUGUGCACAUGCCUUGACUUGUGAGAUUGUUGUCCAAGGAAUGUUUAUAUAUAUCCUUUUCAAAUGUAACUAAGGACUUCAAAAUAAUCUCUAAGCAGUCAAAAGAUGCAAAUUUAGGGAGAACCAGACAUUUGGUAUUCUGUGUUUAUAUAUAUAUAUAUAUAUAUUUUUUUUUUUUUGCAAAUUUGUUUUAUUUAUUAUUAUUAUUUUUGAGUGUAUCAUUUUAAUAUUGCUUU